rnacentral:misc_RNA from 1 species
GAAAUGCGAUACUUGGUGUGAAUUGCAGAAUCCCGUGAACCAUCGAGUCUUUGAACGCAAGUUGCGCCCGAAGCCUUUAGGUCGAGGGCACGCCUGCCUGGGCGUCACGCAUCGCGUCUCCCCCCACCCACCUUCAGUGGGAGGGGCGGAGGAUGAUGGCCUCCCAUGCCUCACCGGGUGUGGAUGGCCUAAAUACGGAGCCCCCGGUUAUGAAGUGCCGCGGCAUAGGUGAGAUACAAGGCCUAGCCUAGGAUACAUCGGAGUCGUGCACUUUUUAGCUUUUGAGGACUCGCAGGACCCUAAGUUUGUUUGCCCAUUGGGGCAUCAAAACCGUUGCGACCCCAGGUCAGGCGGGGCUACCCGCUGAGUUUAA